AGAGUUUGAUCCUGGCUCAGGAUGAACGCUGGCGGCGUGCCUAACACAUGCAAGUCGAACGGGGUUAAGUGAAAUUUUCGGAUGGACCUUAACUUAGUGGCGGACGGGUGAGUAACGCGUGGAUAACCUGCCUCACACAGGGGGAUAGCAGCUGGAAACGGCUGGUAAUACCGCAUAAGACCACGGCCCCGCAUGGGGUUGUAGUAAAAGAUUUAUCGGUGUGAGAUGGAUCCGCGUCUGAUUAGCCAGUUGGCGGGGUAACGGCCCACCAAAGCGACGAUCAGUAGCCGGCCUGAGAGGGUGAACGGCCACAUUGGGACUGAGACACGGCCCAAACUCCUACGGGAGGCAGCAGUGGGGAAUAUUGCACAAUGGGCGCAAGCCUGAUGCAGCAACGCCGCGUGAGUGAAGAAGUAUUUCGGUAUGUAAAGCUCUAUCAGCAGGGAAGAAAGGCUCUUCGGAGAGAUGACGGUACCUGACUAAGAAGCCCCGGCUAACUACGUGCCAGCAGCCGCGGUAAUACGUAGGGGGCAAGCGUUAUCCGGAUUUACUGGGUGUAAAGGGAGCGCAGACGGCAGUGCAAGUCUGAUGUGAAAGCCCGGGGCUCAACCCCGGAACUGCAUUGGAAACUGUACAGCUUGAGUGUCGGAGAGGUAAGCGGAAUUCCUAGUGUAGCGGUGAAAUGCGUAAAUAUUAGGAAGGAACACCGGUGGCGAAGGCGGCUUACUGGACGAUUACUGACGUUGAGGCUCGAAAGCGUGGGGGAGCAAACAGGGAUUAAAAUACCCUGGUAGUCCACCCCUGUAAACGAUGAAUACUAGGUGUGGGGUGUGCACUGCACAUUCCGUGCCGCAGCUAACGCAAUAAGUAUUCCACCUGGGGAGUACGUUCGCAAGAAUGAAACUCAAAGGAAUUGACGGGGACCCGCACAAGCGGUGGAGCAUGUGGUUUAAUUCGAAGCAACGCGAAGAACCUUACCAGGCCUUGACAUCCCAAGGAAAGCUUCUUAACCGGAGCCCCUCUUCGGAGUCUUGGAGACAGGUGGUGCAUGGUUGUCGUCAGCUCGUGUCGUGAGAUGUUGGGUCAAGUCCCGCAACGAGCGCAACCCUUGUCCGUAGUAGCCAGCAGUAAGAUGGGAACUCUACGGAGACUGCCGGGGAUAACCCGGAGGAAGGUGGGGAUGACGUCAAAUCAUCAUGCCCCUUACGGUCUGGGCGACACACGUGCUACAAUGGCGUAACAAAGGGAAGCGAGCCCGCGAGGGGGAGCAAACCCCAAAAAUAGCGUCCCAGUUCGGACUGUAGUCUGCAACCCGACUACACGAAGCCGGAAUCGCUAGUAAUCGCGGAUCAGAAUGCCGCGGUGAAUACGUUCCCGGGUCUUGUACACACCGCCCGUCACACCAUGGGAGUUGGUAAUGCCCGAAGCCGGUGGCCUAACGAAAGAGGGAGCCGUCGAAGGCAGGACCGAUGACUGGGGUGAAGUCGUAACAAGGUAGCUGUAUCGGAAGGUGCGGCUGGAUCACCUCCUUUCU
rnacentral:rRNA from 1 species